GCACAACGCCAGUUGAUCGUCGGAUCUAGACCGCUAAGAUCAAAAAGUAAACAGAAAUAAGAUUAUACUUCCGAACUUCCGAUUUGGCCCAAUUUCUGGGUAUUAAAUUGUUACGAUUCGCAGACAAAGGGCGCAGAGGAUCUGUGUUGUCAACAAUGGGAACACCCACACGCAUUGUGGCCAUGUGACAAGUCGCAUAUUCGGCAAGAUCAAGCGAUCACAACAAAGUGCCAACAGGGCCAAUAGGGCUAAAUUGUAUUCCCAACAAAUAAUUGCUUAUCGUUUGUUUGGCGGACGCAGGCUGCUGCGGCUGAUAAUGUCAUUAUCCUGGGCGCAGAGAAGCACAAGGAGUCCGAGUCCUGCUCGCCGCAUGACGUCACCAGGUAGGCGACUUCGACUUCAUAGCCAUUUAACGGUGCUAGAAGCAGACAGCACAGUCGCGCGCGAAAUAAUAGGUGUGACAUUAGAAAAGGCAGUUGUUAUACUACAAACUACAGUUUACUUAUUAAAUUGAUUAUUAAAUUAAUUAUUAAAUUAAGUUGAAAUUGAGUAAUUUUGAUAUUUCACUUAUCAAGUUUGCCUAAAGGUAUGUACUUUAAUAUCUGCGACUAUUGUCCUGGCCUCUGCUGUAACUUCGCUUCAUUCACCUUUUGCAGGACAAGCCGACAAAUUGUCGCAAAACAUUUAACGCUGGGAAUUGGUUUCAGGAUCGGGUCGGCGGACAUGGUCAAGCGGCGGACGGGAGCGAGGAGUGUGGAGUGAGGGCGAAGGACCACAGGACGACGUGGUCGGCUCUCUCUUUCACUCGCUCCGUGAGCCACAAAAAAUUCCUUUGAAUUGCGUCCGUUGCAGCAGGAACACACAAACACGGCGACAUGUAUUUUCCGCAUUUUUUGUUGUCUUUUGCCUGUGGCUAUGCGCAAAAAAGGACAUCUCCGCCGGCGGUGGCUACGGUGGUAGGAUGACGGUGGUCCACAGGAUCGGUGGCUCGCUGUUUUGGAGGCAUUGUGUGCCUGUGCCCUCUAUUAUGCAUUGCGUACGGCCUCGCCCGGCGUGUUGACAUUUUUAUUCCAAACAGUUGAGCAAUAUUUAUAAACUGGCUGAAAAAAAAGGAGCGCAGGGUGCUGGAGGAGAGGUGGGGAAUGCGGUGGGGGUCAUGGUGCAUGAUGCAUGCCCAAUGGCUUUAUUUCCGGAUGACCGUGUAAAACGUGCUCGUGGUUUGCAGCUUAUUAAAUGAGCUAUUUGAUUAACAUUGUUCGGGGCUCGUUGUUACGCUAAUGAAAGGACAAAAGCGAAUAUUUGGACUACAAGGCUCAAAGGACACAGGCCCAAAGCCAUUUUACAGGACAAUUCAUUAGAACAUGUAUAAUUCAGUGCAUGUUUUAUGUUCCAUGCAUGUAAGGAAGCUAUGAAUUUAUAUUUUAAAACAUAUUGUAAAAGAAUUGUAGAUUCAAAGAAAGUUAUUUUAAUGUCAGUUAACAGAUUAAUCAACUUAUGCAAUCUUUUUAUCUAAUCCUCGAAACGUGGCCUUCGCCUUUGGCAAUAUGCAAUUAACUUUUCAUAAAUAACAAUGUUCAUAAACGGCAGGCAAUACAAACAUUUCUACAUUAAUCGAAAUUGUACAAUUUACUCUGUCACUCAAUUACUUUGUUUUUCCUUGGCAGCUUAUUAGAUGCCACAUUGUGCAUGCCCAGGAGCGAAGACUUUGCAAUUGUUGAUGUUUGCACGGGCGAAACACCUUGGAGUCCUGGGGGAAACCGCACGAGCCCGACCAGAUGAUGAUCUAAUUGAAUGACAAUAUUAUGCCAAGGCCUAAUUCAAUUUGCAUUCCUUGGGAAGAGGUGCAGGUGGAGGAGCUCGAGCUGGAAACUGGGAGCUGGGACAUGGGCUGAAUCUUAAACAAACACGGCAAUUACUGCCGACGGAUGCACUUGUCUGGCCAAAUGACUUGGUCCUGUAAUUAGCCCGGGGAUGAAAGGAUGCGGGAUGGGUUCUCGUUUUUCGGUUGGCCCUUUGUCGGCCUCCUCGGGGGUCCGCCUAAUUAUCACAUUUUUACUCAUUAAAUACACAUUUGCCUUGUUUUUUCGUUGCUUUUCCCCCUUUUUUUUUGCAGGUCCUGCGUGGAUCCUGCUGUCUAAUUACAGGGUAAUCAGGCUUUCAGCCGCCCUGGCCACCGAAUGAUGAUUGAUUGAGGCAAGUAUGAGCGGCAGUAACUUAAAAUCAUGCUGCUUAACUCAUUUCCAUUCCAGGUGACAUCUGCCCAAGCGCGUGCCAUGCAAAAGUGCUUGGAGGAAAGUGCAAACAGCAGCUGAAAUGGAUAUGGAAAAAGCAAAUCGAAAACUGAUUUGGAGCGGAAGUUCGUUUGCACCUUUCUGCAGUUUCCUGUAUUUGCCGCCGUCGCCGCCAGAACAAUAAACAUCCACAAUCUGCAGCUACAGCCACUUCCAUUCCAUGCCCACAAUCGCAAUCAGAAUCACCGAGUGUUCUAUAUAAAGUGCCAUGACUUGUCUUGGCCUUUGACGCCGUCUUUUGUACUAAGAGAGUUGAGUUCAAAUGGAAUGGAGGUGGAGAUGGAGAUGCAGAUGGAGGUGAAGUCACCGCCCGUUGGCUUUUCAAUGAGCUGAAAAUCAAAAGCUAUACGCGAUUUCCCACAGAGCACCGAUUAAGGAUAUGCGUAUGCACGCAAAGAAACUUUGAAUGUUUGGAUCUCAGUUUCGAUAAAUUAUGAUAUUUACAAUAAUAUCAUAAGUAGUUGGAUUGAACUUUACGUUGGGAUAAGACUUUAUGCAAGGACGAAGAAUCCCGGCAGCUGCUCCUUGGGAACGCUGUAUUUGAUUUGCGAUUCAAGGCAGGCGGAAAUGGAAUGACACGCGAGGCACUCUUACUUUGUUUGACGAUUGGCAAAAAUGCUGCCUCCAUUGCCCGACAAAAAACAGAAGGAACAGAAGGACCAAGGACCCGCCAGACCCGCCAGUCGUAAGAGACUUCCACUUGAGCCGCACGCAUUGUUUGCGCUGCGAACCGAAGGGGCGUGCUGGAAAUCGGAUAUAGGAUCGCUCGUUCGGGACAAUCAAAUAGCGCAGCGGAGUUUUCCAACCCACUGAGCAGCCGCAAUCGGCGUAGAAUCAGCUGCCUUCAACCUCCAAGAAGACUCUAUGGCGAUGAGGUGCCAACCCGAGCCACGCGUGUCCCGUGUCCUAUGGCCAAUGGUCAAUGCCCAAUGGCCAAAAUUGGACACUGGCCGUCUCAUUAGCGCACCAAAGGUUGGAGGGUUAAUGAUGCGCACCCCGUGCUCCGGCUUCCGUCCCCCACACCAAAGCCUCCGGGCAAUUAUGCGACGCACUUGAGCUUGAAGGGCCUCGAAGGUGAGGAGUACACUUGGAAAAACCGAACAAAAACUAGUAUGGCACAUAUGAUGGUUAUUUUAUCGUACGGCAAACGACUGAGAUACUUAAAUCAAUGAAAUAAGCGCAGCUUCCACGUAGUGUGAAUAAGCAAUAAGAGAGCAAGAAUUCCUGCCAGCGUAAUAUUUAAUUUUCGAAUAGGUAGUUCUCAAUUUAUGAUCAGAGCAACCAUUUCAAUGGCUAAGCACUUCUUUGAGUGUACGCGUAGGAGGACUGCAGUGGCCAUUCAUUGACCCCGUCUGCGUAGUAGCUCGGGUUUUAUGGUGUCGUCGUAAAUGUCAGGUGCGCACCCCAUUUAAAUUUAUUCAACGUAAUUAGUUGUCUUCCCCUAUAAGGUAUAAAGUGCCAGUAAGUCUGUAGUGUGUGCACAGCGAUGUACAGAGUGUCAGUGCACGAAUCUAAUUUGAUUGCCUGCCAAAAAACUACAAGUGUUAGGGGAUUACGAUGCAGUGCUUCCGCUCUGGCCCGAAAAAUUCGAUUUCCCUUUGGAAGAUACAUUUUUGUGGCGCGGAUUAAACGACACAUAAAACAUAUAAAUGGAACGCAACACACCUGCAGGUGGAAAAACAUGCAAAAAUGAUCGUUGCGAGAUAUGCGAACGGGACAUGACGCCGCAGGAUGCCAAACAGGCUGCCUCAGUCCGCUGGCGCUCCAUUUGGGCCACCAUUCUCGCCUCGCUCUCGCCUCGGUUAUCGGUGAAUUCCGUGACGAUGGCAAAAAUAUUGCAACGCAGCCAAAAGGGAUGGCAGUGGGCAGUGGGAAAAAAGGGGUCUGGGUCGUGGUCCAUUUCGUGUGCACGUCGUUAUCCUUGCUCCGGAUGCACAACAAUCAAAAUAAACGGCUGCCAAAUUGACCAUUGACCAAACAUCGUCAGCAGAGAACGGCGAGGAGGUGCCGGCGACCAAUGCAGCAGGAUGUGUGGGCGGCAAAGGACCUCCGGGGGCAAGGGUGUGAGGUGAGGCACUGGAUAGCGACAUCAUCUUUGGCCCCGUCACGUCCACUUUCUGCUCCAUUCAGGAGCCAAGCAGCCAACUCGAAAUAAACAUGAAAUGCACUUGUUUUUGUGCAGCAGGAAAAGCGAUUAAAGGCUGUUAAAGCAAGGACAUGAAAACUAGAAGUAAAGCACUUAACUGGCUCACAGGUCAACUCCUUCUUCAGAAUGUAAUCAAGCCAGAAAUAUGUGUAAUGGGCCAUAAUUGAUACCCUAUAAGCCAGAUGCCGUCCAGAGUUAGUAGCUGCCGCUACAUAAUUAACCAGAAAUGUGCGCUCAUCCCGCGUCCCCACUCGAUUUACGAUAUUAUUGCAGAAUAAUGAAAUCGCCAAGAGAUUCCAAUUCAAUCUACGCGCCGCGUAGGCCAUUUAUGGAUUGGCAUUGAUUUAAUACCGCGUCGCGAGAGAUCGCCUCCAGGUUCGGUUCCCCCGAGUCCGAGGCGCAAGGCAUUUUGCACCUACUUCAGCCCCAAGACGUCCAACUCGACGUGGAGCUCGCGGCUCCAAAGUCCGCAUCUGAUCUGAUUCCGCCGCCUAUCGCUCCCCGAGAUCAGCGGCGCAGACGCCACCUCGGCGGAGGCUGGAUCGGCGGGCAGGAGGGCAUCGCAGCACUCAGAGAAAAUGCACCUCAGAAGGAAAUGCAAGUAAAGUAGCCAUUCAAAAAUAUUGUUGAAUAAUUGUAUGCAUAUUUAUAUGUUUUCUUUAAAUACUAGUGACUUCUGUAAUGAAUUCUGAUUCGGAAGCCGCAAUGGAAAUUAUUUAGCAAGCUCAGUUUCAUACAACUUUUUGUACUACUACUACUUGCUCAUCCAGCACGACUGAAAGGAUUUUUUCUGAAUGCACUGCCCCAAUGUUUAUUCAAUAAACCCGAUCUGAGAUGCAACAACCAGGAGGAGAAGCGGCAGAACAGCAGCUGGCUGGCAUUCCUGCGAGAAGCAACCGUUGAGCAGUUCUGCCGUUGGCCCAUUCAAGACAAGUCGCUGGAAUUUCUUGGUGCGUGCUCGGCACAGGCACAGUCACAGUCACAGGUUGGGGCUCGGAAUCGGAUUCAGCUGGUCCAGCGUCUGCCAGCUGCGUCUCCUGAUUAUGAUAAUGGCCGUUGGACUGGACCGGAUCGCAUUGGACCGGGACAGGAACAGGGAGCAGAUCGCAACACCAGGCGGCUGGGCCACGACGGACCGCUCAGCUCAUCCCACUGGCCAGUUGUGCGCAAUUGCUUUCGUUUAUGAUCGAAUGAUCGAAUGCCUGGCAGCUCCGUUGACUUUCUGAUUAAUGGAAGAAUGCUCCUUGGCGGCGUUCCUGCUUUUUGCCCGAUCCCACCACCACUGACUGCAAUUAAAAGUGGAUGCCCCUCGCUAAAAAGUGGAGGAAGGCAGGCCUGGACAUCAACGCCAAAGACAAGGUCAGGGCAAUGAAUUCCUAAAGGCAACAACAUGGAUAUGCCCAAUCCAAAUAUAUAUAGUAUUUAUCUGGUUUGAUUCUUUGAUAUCCACUCUAUAUAAACAACUCUUUAACUAAAUACACCCAAAGAAAUGUCCAACUAAUCGGUAUGUAUUUUCAGUUAGAGCCAACCAAGCUAAGCCCAGAUAAGAGCAUUCCCAGUUCGCCUUCGUACGUGGAGCCACAGAUUGAUUUGAUUCCUGACCGGCUGCCGUCGCCUACUGUGCCGGCUGUGCCUGAUGUCCGAUGGCUGGAAGAAUGGGAACCCAAGUGGCGGCCAGAUGCAGACUGAGCCGAGGAAGACAAACGACAGUCGCCAGCGCGCCUCGUGCCUCCAGUUGUCAUAACGUUCAACACAUCGCGCCCCUCGGUGGCGUCUUGCGUCUUCGCCGCAUCCACAUGCCCGACUUCUGUGCGCUGCCAUAAAAGGAUUUGUCACGUGCGAGCUUUUGUUGCAAAUGCAACAAUCAUCAGCCUGCAUUAUGCAUGGCGCAUUGCCAGGUUGGACAUCGCAUCGCGGCAUUCCUGGCCAGGUCCGCCUGCCUCCGCCAGGUCCUGGUCCUGGCUCAUAUGCUCGCCGACCAGCAGAUCAUUGCAAUUUAUAAUUAAGUGGAAAUAUGUUGUCUACGAUGGCAACAAGGAUCUCAGAUUGCUGGCGCAGAUAUGAAUGCCUCACAAAGUGGCGGGCUGCAGAGGGAAACGGCAGGGAAACGGAUCCCUCAAUUGGAAUAACAAAUGCAUUAGCAGGCCAAACAAGGACCUAAUAAUGUCCUCGCCGAGGGAAUGUGAAUGGAAAUCCAUUGUGCAAAGAAUGGGCCGGGUCUCAUCCGCAAUUACCGUUAGGCACACACACAAACAAGGCGCAACAAUCACACACACACACACACACACAGAGGCAAAUGAGGACACGUUGGCCUGGCUAAUUCAUGACUUUAAGGACACUUUGGCAAACAAUCGAACGGUCAAGGCGAAGGAAUAUUCACUGUGCAAUUGAUUAUGCAUGAGUGUUUUGUCGUGUGCGGUUUGUGUGCGUGCCAAUCAACUGGGUAGAAUCAAUCAAAAUGCAAUAGGAUUGCCCUGCCAAUCAAAGGCAAAGCCGAGAAGAGCGCUUCCUCCGCUCGCAGAAGUCACCUCUGGCCCCCAGUUGCACAGCUUAAGUCCGAGGCAGUCCGGGCCUGGCCAGUAUUUUCGGACCACAUCAGGACAAAUAGCCAGCGUCCAGGUAACCAGGACAAACACUCAAAUGCCUGGCGAAGCGUGGCGAAGGAAGCAAACGAGACGUAGGCUUACAUACGGAAAAACUGUGGACUAACUUGGUCUGCAAUCCAAUAUCCAUAGUACUUAAUAUCCUUAAAAUAACAUAAUUCGUAAUGUA